AUGCUGCCACAGUCGGGACUUCCGGCUCGGGCCGGAAGCGCGCGCGCUCCGCCCCGUCGUGACGCCAGGCCGUCUCCCGGCGCGCGCCCGCCACCGCUCGGGUGGGGACGGGGACGGAAACGGGGACGGGGGCGGGGGCUGCGGGGGCUGCGGCGGCGCGGGGCCCGGCGCGUCCCUUCGCGUGGGUGGCGGUCCGGGCAUCUUCGGAGCCCCCCGGCCUGGCCCCCGGUGCCUCGCCGGGGACAGCAGCACCGGCACGGCGCGGGCCACCAUGCCCCGGUGGCGCCGAGGGCAGGAGAGGCCGGCCUCCCGCUGCGCCGGCGCGGGACGCGGGCGCGGACGACUGGAUCGCGGCGAGGGGCGCGCGGGGCCGCGGAGAGGGCCUCCGGUCGGGACGCUGACGGCACUCACCGGGGGUGCCGCGGAGAAACGCCGUGCGUUGCGGCGGCAUCGGUGCCCCGGCCCCAUUAGAAUUUAAAAAUCUGUUGUUUGGGGCACCCUGACGCUGAGGCUCUUGGAAGACUGGUGCAGGGGGAUGGAGGUGAACCCUCGGAAAGCGCUGUUCGUUGCCGGCAUCCCCCCGACCUGCACUGUGGCAGAAAUCGGGGAGGCUCCGCGGGCAGGUUUGGCGCCGAUGGGCGGGUACAGACCGCUCCGGAGGGUGUUCCGGCGGGAUGACAACCGGAACGUAGCCUUAGUAGGGCUGACUGAGGAGACGGCUCUUGCUCUAGUCCCUGAGGAGCUCCCCGGAAAAAGGGGUGUCUGGAGAGUGAUCUUUAAGCCCCCAGACCUGAAUAAUGAAUUUUUAAGCAGAUUAAAUGAAUUCUUAGAGGGAGAGGGCACAACGUUGGGGGAGUUGACCGGAGCUCUUGGAUAUGGAAACGACCCUUUUGACCUAGGCCAGGACAUGAUCCCAGAAAUACAGGCCCUAUGUUGGCACAGGCAUUAGAGGAGGCUCUUCGGCCCGCCGUGCGGUACCCGAAAUACAAAAAGCUGAGAGUGUUCUCAGGCGGUGACCCUCCGGAACCAGAAGAAUUUGAAUCCUGGCUGUUUCAUACUACUCAGAUGAUGAAGACUUGGCGGGUGCCAGAUGCAGAGAAAAGAAGACGCUUGCUGGAGAGCCUUAGAGGCCCGGCAUUUGAUGUUAUUCGUGUCCUCAAGAUAAACAGUCCCUUCAUUACAGUCGCUGAAUGCCUGCAGGCUCUUGAGCAGGUAUUUGGGGUUAUUGAUCAUCCUAGGGAAUUGCAGAUCAAGUAUCUGACCACUUAGCAGAAGGAUGGAGAGCAAUUGCCUGCUUAUGUGCUGAGGUUGGAGCCUUUAUUACAGAAACUGGUAGAGAGAGGAGCAGUUGAGAAAGAUGUUGUGAAUCAGGCCCGCCGAGACCAAAUCUUGGCUGGAGCAGUCCACAGAGCCCUUCGCAGGAAGCUUGCUCAGCCACAGGACGGCCCAUCCGCUGGCUUAUUGCAGCUACUGGCUACUGGCGCUGAUAAAGGACCAAGAGGCAGCUGAGGAGGAGGAGGCGGCUCUUCUCUGGGCAGGACUAGAAGGGCAUUUCUCCUGAAUCUUAGGCAACCAGGAAGCAGAGCAUGAAGGUAGAACAGUCAGUGUACUCGUGAUAGACAUUAAUCAGUCCCUUCCUUGUGCUGCCGAGGAGCUCAUUCUGUACAGUUUUCUGUCUAAAUCCUUCGUCAUUUCUGUGCUAUUAAAUGUCUUCCAAAUGUGUCACAGACUAGGACGGUUGUAGUUCUGCACUAGUAGUUAUAUAUUUAGAUUUACUGCUGUGAAUUUAUCAUACAAAAUUGUACAGAGGGGCUAUCGCUACACACAUAUGGUGCUCUGAGAAAUGUCAGCUUUUAUGUGAUAACACGUGCAAGGGUAGCCUUUGGAUGUGAUGAUGUAUCAUAGAGGGUUUUUAGGCGUGUAUUGCCCUACAUUUAUUAUGAAGAUAUGAGCAGUGGUUGAGAUACUAAGUUAUUUUCUGUCUGAAUCACAAUUUUACUGAUUCUGCGCAGCCAAAACGAGGCAGGAUCAAAUGCUGAGGUUGAUAAGUUUGCAGCUAUCACCUCUAACCCUGGGUUUCUGAUAUGUGACAUCAGAACAUCUGGUUCUGAAUGUCAUUUAAUAGGUGUUAUAAAAUGAUCUAUGUGAACUUAUAAAAUAAAGGAAUGCUAAUACAAUGACCUUUUAAAAAUCUGUUUUAUUUAUAUCAAGAUUCCAAGAGAGAUUUCAUUUGAGCAAAGGGUUCCAGAAGCAUAAAUCUGAAAAACACUGAGGUUACACAAUCUUAGUCGCUUGGGUAUUUUCCUCUUAGUGUCCAGGGGAUAAAGUAGUUUUCUUUUUCUUUUCUUUUCUUUUUUUUUAAGAUGUAUUUAUUUAUUUGAGAGCGAGAAAGAGAGCAAGCAUGAGCAGGGGGAGAGGCAGAGGGAGAGAAGAGAAUCUCAGGCAGUCACCUCGCCGAGCACAGAGCCCGACGUGGGGCUAGACCCCACAACCCUGAAAUCAUGACCUGAGCCGAAACCAAGAGUCAGAUGCUCAACUGACCGAGCCAUCCAGGUGCCCCUAGGGAGUAGUUUUCUAAGUGAGAUUGCCAGAGGGACCUUCGACUGAUGUAGGAGGGAAUGAAACAAGAUGGAACACAAAUUAGUCCAAAGAGUAGGUCCAAAUGCAUCACUGUGUCGAAUUUGGAGAGUGAAAGGGAAGACAUAAAGGUUGUAUGCUUCUCCAUGACAGACUGGACUAAAUUAAAGUUUCCCCAUGUAUUUUCUCAUUGAAUCCUCAUAAAAAUCCUGCAAUAUAAGAAAACCCAGUUUCUCAUUGUAGAAAUGGGCACAGAAAGGUUAAAAAAUACUUCUCCAAGGGGCGCCUGGGUGGCUCAGUCAGUUAAGCGUCUGCCUUCUGCUCAGGUCAUGAUCCCAGGGUCCUGGGAUCGAGUCCCACUUUGGGCUCCUUGCUCAGCAGGAAGCCUGCUCCUCCCUCUGCCUGCAGCUCCCCCUGCUUGUGCAAGCUUGCUCUAUCUCUCUCUGGCAAAUAAAUAAAAUCUUAGGGCGCCUGGGUGGCUCAGAUGGUUAAGCGUCUGCCUUCGGCUCAGGUCAUGAUCCCAGGGUCCUGGGAUCGAGUCCCGCAUCAGGCUCCCUGCUAGGCAGGGAGCCUGCUUCUCCCUCUGCCUCUGCCUCUGCCUCUCUCUCUCUCUCUCUGACUCAUGAAUAAAUAAAUAAAACAUUUAAAAAUAAAAUAAAAUCUUAAAAAAAAAAACUUGCCCAAGGCAAAACAACUAGUAAGUGGCGGGUCCAGAAUUCUGUCCUCUGCCCUACUGCAAGGCCCAUAUUCUUUCCAUUGCCAAGAAAAAGAAACAAUCAUAAGGGUAUGAGCACCCAACAGCCUCACAAGGGAAACACGGCAGAUGUUAACCACAUUUCAUAUAUGUCUUGUAUGCAUUAGUGAAGAGUACGUUAUUCUGAAUCAUUACUGCCAACUAGACAUUAUGAGAAGUGGGGAGUAGUCCACAAUAGCCAAACUGUGGAAAGAGCCAAGAUGUCCAUCGACAGAUGAAUGGAUAAAGAAGAAGUGGUAUAUAUACACAAUGGAAUAUUAUGUAGCCAUCAAAAGGAAUGAGAUCUUGCCAUUUGCAAUGACGUGGAUGGAACUGGAGGGUGUUAUGCUGAGUGAAAUAAGUCAAUCAGAGAAAGACAUGUAUCAUAUGACCUCACUGAUAUGAGGAAUUCUUAAUCUCAG
ensembl:lncRNA